rnacentral:rRNA from 1 species
CGCGGCCUAUCAGCUUGUUGGUGGGGUGAUGGCCUACCAAGGCGACGACGGGUAGCCGGCCUGAGAGGGUGUCCGGCCACACUGGGACUGAGAUACGGCCCAGACUCCUACGGGAGGCAGCAGUGGGGAAUAUUGCACAAUGGGCGCAAGCCUGAUGCAGCGACGCCGCGUGGGGGAUGACGGCCUUCGGGUUGUAAACCUCUUUCACCAUCGACGAAGCCUUCGGGUGACGGUAGGUGGAGAAGAAGCACCGGCCAACUACGUGCCAGCAGCCGCGGUAAUACGUAGGGUGCGAGCGUUGUCCGGAAUUACUGGGCGUAAAGAGCUCGUAGGUGGUUUGUCGCGUUGUUCGUGAAAUGCCACAGCUUAACUGUGGGCGUGCGGGCGAUACGGGCAGACUGGAGUACUGCAGGGGAGACUGGAAUUCCUGGUGUAGCGGUGGAAUGCGCAGAUAUCAGGAGGAACACCGGUGGCGAAGGCGGGUCUCUGGGCAGUAACUGACGCUGAGGAGCGAAAGCGUGGGGAGCGAACAGGAUUAGAUACCCUGGUAGUCCACGCCGUAAAUGGUGGGUACUAGGUGUGGGUUUCCUUC